GUAGGGGGCAAGCGUUUCCGGAAUGACUGGGCGUAAAGGGUGUGUAGGCGGGCUCGCAAGNUGGAUGUGUAAUACCCAGAGCNUAACUCGGGUGCUGCAUCUGAAACUACGAGUCUNGAGUGUCGGAGAGGUAAGNGGAAUNCUUAGUGUAGCGGUGGAAUGCGUAGAUAUUAGGAGGAACAUCAGUGGCGAAGGCGACUUACUGGACGAUAACUGACGCUGAGGCACGAAAGCGUGGGGAGCAAACAGGAUUAGAUACCCUGGUAGUCCACGCCGUAAACGAUGGAUACUAGAUGUAGGAGGUAUUGACUCCUUCUGCGUCGCAGCUAACGCAAUAAGUAUCCCGCCUGGGGAGU
rnacentral:rRNA from 1 species